rnacentral:miRNA from 1 species
UAUUGCACUUUUCCAGGCCUUC